rnacentral:lncRNA from 1 species
CAUAUGGAGGUUACCAGAGUAGGGGUCGAAUCGGAGCUGUAGCCACUGACUACACUACAGCCACAGUAAUGCGGGACCCAAGCUGCAUCUGGGACCUACAUCACAGCUCCUGGCAAUGCUGGAUCCUUAAAUUCACUGGGCGAGGCCGGGGAUUGAACCUGUGUUCAUGGAUACUAGUCAGAUUCGUUUCUGCUGAGCCAUGACAGGAACUCCAAUUUUUUGCUUUUUUACCAAAAUUCUAGGUGAGGGUUUCUAACUGUUACUAUUUUGUUUUUAUAAUACUAUAAUAAAGAUUCUCCCAUGAAUAAAUUUCCAAACAAUAAACUUGCUAAGCCAUUUAGUUUGGAAAAGUUCCUUUGCACUAAGACACUAACCCUCACCAAACAUGUAUUUCCAAUAUUUUCUCCCAUUUGCCUGUCUCUGAACUAUAGCUCAAAUUGGCGCUACGAGGUAUUUUUGCUAUAGGCGUGUUCUGAGUAUUCAAGCAAAUAAUCUUCCUAUGGCUUAUAGCCCUAGUGUCACAUCAAGAAGCCCUUUCUGCAAACAACCCACCCAAAGGUUAUAAAAUAUUUCUUGUAAUAAUUUUCUAGUGCUUCUGCGUUUGAUUUUUACAGUUAAAUCUUUAAUCCACCCAGAAUCUCUAUGCGCUGUGGAACGUACAAUUUUCUACUUUAUUUUUCCCAAAAGACACACACUGCCAGUUGAUGUAACAUCUUCGUACAUUAUAAAUCAUCCAUUCCCAACCCAUGUAAAAUAUCACACUAGGAGUUCUUCUGCGGUCCUAUGGGUUAAGGAUCUGGCUUUGCCACUGUUGUGGCUUGCUGCUGUGGCGUGGGUUCAAUCCCUGGCCCAAAGAACUUCCACACCCCCUGGGCACAGGCUGGGGGGGGGACAGCACUUGCAUACAGAAAACUGGCCGUGCCCACAGCAGGCUGAAGUUCCCGGGCCAGAGACUGAACCCUGGCCACAGCAGCAGUGGUCCAAACCACAGCAGUAACACCACCAGAUCCUUAGACUGCUGAGCCACCAGGGAACUCCCUUCGUAUAAACAUGUUUUCCCCUUUUUAAAAAAAGGGAAAGUUUUAGGUUUACCAUUCAUUUUUUAAAAUGGAAUGGGUCAAUUUGCCCAAGAACUCAAAAAAGUUAUUUCUAAAGUUAGUUUCUAUGAAGCAGUAGGUUAUUUACCAAAAAAGAAAGCCUGUUGCCAGACCCGCGGCUCUCAGGAUGAACCACUUUCCUUCGCCUUUUCUGACCAUUCAUUAUUUAACUCUCGUGCCUCAAAGCAGUGACUUCAAUAAUACCACUAAAGACAGAAUUUCACUGUAAAGCACCCUAAAGUCUACUUCAGCUAACCGUUCAGGACAAAGAGCUUAACUGCAGGAUGGAUUGUAUGUCCCUGGCCUCUCUCCCUCGGGGCACCUCUGAGAGGAUGAGGCCGCAGGAGAGGCAGGAGCAGCCACACAGGUGCACCUGGAGCUGGAGCCUUCCCACGCCCCUGCUCGCUCCCCCGGGAAUCACAGCAUCUCAGUCACAGGAAUAAUAAGUGAGAAAGACAAAGGGAUGGCAGUGAAAGGAACCUGUUUGUCUAACUGCAGCUACUCAUCAAGUGCCUGGCUCCUCCUUCCUGCCUCUUCCUGCAGGGGACCCGGGUCCCUCUGGCACUCUCCCCAAGGACAUGUCAAUUCUGCAACAGGCCAGGAUGUACACAGCUUCAGGGCUUACAUUCAGUUUAAAAGGGAAUGUGUACCUGAGCCUGCACCGACUUGUAAUGCUAUGUCAUUAUGUCUUAGAUUAAAAUCUUUUUUGUUUGAAAUGUAAUUCCUCCCCCUCCCAAUCAAAUCAGCUAAUCUCACCUUGUCUCUUUCACAUCUUGAAAUUCUGAGCUUAGCAGGCACUUUACGCAAACUGUCAAGCAUGGAAGGGUAGCUCAAACGACAGGAGGGAUCGUUGGCUGACAGCUAACUCCUUCAACCCAUUUUUCAAAUAGAAAACACAUUAAAUUUGACGUUAAUUCAAACGCUAUUUAACCUCACGAGGCUUACUGCAGAUUGGUCACAGGUGCCACGCCCCAGCCUCUCAACUGGAGGAAGAAGCACACUGACCAGGACAUGCUGUGAAAUCCUGAGCCCAGCCAAGGCGAAGGCCCCUCCAAAGAGCUGGCACCAGCUGUGAGACAGGCCUGGGGGUACAGAGUCAGACAGGAGCCUGCCUACCAGCCUUUCUUAAGGGGUUUAGCCUUCUGUUCCUGCCUCAAUUUCCCCUACCAGCUCCCACCAUUUCUAUCAACAUCAAUUGUGCUCGCUUCUCUGUGUGGGGUCCAGGGACCAGCAACACCAGAGGCGCCUGGGAGCUUGUUAGGAAAGCUCACUCAGCCCCACUGACUGAAUUAGGAGCUGUAGCUAACAAGAUCCCAGGGGACCCAUCACAGAGUCAAGUUCUGAGAUGCACCCAAAAUAACACAUGGCUUAGGCUCUACCUAUUUAAAAACAGAACUCUCUGCUGUUCCCAUGUCACCCACCAACUACGAAGCCCCUUCCCUGCCUCGCCCUGCAGAGCACACCUUCUCGAAGCCACAUCCCCCCAGUCUCCCCUCCUCAGCUCCCAGCUUCCAACUCACUGCAAUCUGGCCUUCCCUGCCAACCACCUAGUCCCGAGUUCCCACAUCCAAAGGACCCCUUUCAUCUAACCUCCAAAGCACUCUGCACGGCAAUACCCCAGCAUCCUCCGCGUGCAGGGGACGGCAUCCACUCACAAGAACUCAAACUCCACCUACAGCUUUCUGACCCAACCCCAGGCCGACGUGCUCAUGGUUUUCCACAUCCACUCUGAACCUCAAACACUCCAAGCGUAGUUCUUGUCCCCACUGGACAGCCAGCAACCUGCACCACCCAUGAGGUUUCAUCACAGUGCCUGAGGUCACCAGCCCUAAGUCUGCAAAGCAAGCCCUGAAAAAUCACCCAAGACACCUUCCUUUGCUGUGUCCAUUGGCGCCGUGGCUGGCUCUGCCCCCGGAGCAGAUGUGAGCCUCGUGAGCCUAGCCUAGCCGUGUCCUUCCAUGUUCUCGGCCCCCACCCUUGGCCAAGCCACUUUACUGCUCAUCAACGAUCUCCUAUGAAUGAUGUUUGUCUCUAUUUGCCCAACAACCCGUUCUUCAUUCAGCAAGCUGAAUAAUCUUGAAAACCUCACAUCCUGUCACAUCCUGCUUAAAACUGCUCAAAGGGCGAGUUCCCAUCGUGGCUCAGUGGAAAUGAAUCUGACUAGUAUCCAUGAGGAUGCAGGUUCCAUCCCUGGCCUCACUCAGUGGGUUAAGGAUCCAGCAGUGCCACAAGCUGUGGUGUAGGUCACAGAGGUGGCUCGGAUCUGGUAUUGCUGUGGCUGUGCCAUAGGCCAGCAGCUGGAGUUCCGAUUCGACAACUAACUACAGUUAUCUCUGGACAAGCAACCGUGGAGAGCAACAGCGAGAGCAAAAGCGAAAGCACGUGGCUGCGCCUCUAGGAGGUUGGUGCUUCCAUAAGGGAAGGAAGGAGUCACUGCUUUGGGGGCACUUUCUGUCGUCUUCUCAAGAUCUGGGUUGAUACGCAUGUCCUCUGCCUCCUCCUCAGGCCCCAAGGCACGGUUAGUGGGAUGGACUGGCAGGAGUCUCUCCCUAGUCCCAUGAAAAUAACCCUCAAGGAUGUCACGGUCCUGUUGCCACAAAAGAAACCAGACAGCUGCAAAGAAGAGAAACUGCCUUGAGGACCCUUCCAGUACAAGCCCUAUCCUGCUCCCCAGACACUCACACCCCAGCGUCUAAGUGGGUGCCAAAGACCACAGAAAGACAGAGAGGGCUAAAAAUAACCAAAACUGAGAUUCUUUAAGUCCAGCAAUUUUAGGAAGCAUGUAUAUGUUUUUUUCAAAGAAGUAAAAUAUUUAAAAAUAAAUUUGACUAGAAAAAUUCCAAUUACAUACAAAAACUAUCCUUUAAAAUAUACAUUUCUCGAUCAUGCUUGACAAACACUCCCAAGAUUUACAUAAUAUCACAUAGGUUCCUGGAGCUUCCAUUGUGGUUCAGCAGUAACGAAACCAACUAGUAUCCAUGAGGACAUGGGUUCGAUCCCUUGCUCAGUGGGUUAAGGAUCCGGCACUGCUGUAAACCACGUGUAGGGUGCAGAUGAGCCUCGGAUCCUGUGUUGCUGUGGCUGUGGUGUAGGCCAGCAACUGCAGCUCCGAUUCUACCACUAGCCUGGGAACCUCCAUAUGUCACAGGUGCCGCCCUAACCCCACCCCCACCCCCCCAAAAAGGUUCCUAACCUCAGAUAUACAAAGGCCACUAAAAGUUCUGAACCGAUUUUGUUUUUUUGUUUUUUUAUUUUUGCUUAUUUUGUUUUGGCCGCCCCCAUGACAUGUGGAAGUCCCCAGGCCAGGGAAUCAAACCUAAGUCACGGCAGUGACAACAUCAGACCUUUAGCCUGAUGAGCCACCAGAGAACUCCUGAAAAGACUUAAAUUUUCUGAAUUCUUACUUCCCUUAUAUGAAGACUUUUCUUCUGGUUUUUCUUCUUUUUUGUCUUUUUAGGGCCAUACUGGUGGCAUAUGGAGGUUCCUGGGCUAGGGGGUCAAAUCAGAGCUGUAACAACCUGCCUACACCACAGUCACAGCAAUGCCAGAUCCCAGCCGCACCUGUAACCUGCGUUGCCCAUGGUGACACCAGAUCCUUUACCCCACUGAGCACGGCCGGGGAUCAAACCCACAUCCUCAUGGAUACUAGUUGGCUCCUUAAUCCACUGACCCACAACGGGAACUCCCUGAACAAAAAAAAUAAAUAAAUAACAAAAAUAUCAGUCCAGGAGCUCCCCGGUAGUCUAGAGGUUAAGGAUCUGAUGUCGUCACUGCUGCACCACAGGUUUGAUCCCUGGCCUGGGAACUUCUACAUGCCAUGGGCAUGGCCAAAAAAUAAAUUUUUGAAAAGUAUCCAGGAACUCCCACUGUGGCUCAGUGGGUUAAGAAUCUGACACUGUGUCCAUGAGGAUGUGAGGUCAAUUCCUGGCCUCAAUUAGUGGGUUAAGGAUUUGGUGUUGCCACAAGCUAUGGUGUAGGUCACAGAUGCGGCUUGGAUCUAGCACUGCUGUGGCUGUGGUGUAGCUGCAGCUCUGAUUCGACCCCUAGUCUGGUUACUUCCAUAUGCCGUGGGGGGGGGGACAAUAAAAAAAAAAGUCCAAAGGUGUAUUUAUUCUCUAAAUAACUACAGAUUGCCAAGAUGUUCCAAUCAGCACAGGAACAACAGAAGAUGCGUUCCUAAAAAGCUGCUCCGCUGUUAAAACGAAUCAUUUACCCACUGACUUAUAACAUCACUCCCAACAAUUUUAGCAGCUUUUACUUUUUUUAAGCUAGCAUUAUCUAAAUCUGUGAACAAAUGUUGAGACUAGAAAGGCUGCCGUUGUAAAGCUCUUCUUUCACAGCUGAAGUGCAGAAAGCUGCUCAGCAGCGUAGCAUUUUCCUGAAUAUGUCAAGUUUUAAAUUAUGGGCAACGUGCGCAGUCAGCUCCUAUAUUUAAGAAUAGGAUCGGAGGACACGAAGGUCCCUCACUGAUUUGAGCAGCACCUUUUAAAUGCCAUCCCUUCAGGGCUAGGCACCAAGACGCUUCCCUGCUCCCCGAUUCCAUCCAUGCCCAGGAAAAGCUCCCUGCCCCCUUCACUUCUCAUCUCUGUGGGUCACAGCAGCCACGCCCAAACCCACGUGUCACCAGUGGGGAAGCCAUCUCAAGCCCUUCCAAUGACCCUUCUGCCCAUUCUCAGGAAAACCACCGCAACGUUAAGGUCCUCAUUAAGUGGUGUCACAGGCAACCAUCCCCAGACCUGCCUAUGCAUCAGGCUCACCUGGGGUGUUCCUUUCAACUCCCAGUCCGGAGCCCAGACGGACUGAUGGACACUGUCAAGGGGUCCGACUCAGUCAAGUUUAAGAACUAGCCCUGCCGACAUAAACAACCCAACUGGCGUGGCCCCUCCUUCCAACCCUGGUGGUGAGGGCGAGGAAGAGACAGGUCCUCACAACUCUGUAACCACAACUGGAGGUGGCCGCCAUGAAGGCAACGACUGAGGUCAGUCGACCUGAAGAGCAACAGUGUGACCAGAAAAAGCCUCUUGAGAAGGUGACAUUUAAGCUGAGCCCUAGAGGAUCAAAGACUCAGGAGUAAAAACAGCAAAAGGAAGGAGAUGGCAGGUGGACAAGGAGGAGGGUCCAGAGGUCAGAAAAGCUGAGGCAGAGACAGAAACUUGUGAGGUAUCAAAACAAUCCGUAAACAGCAUUUAAAACAGGCAAGAACAGGGAGUUCCCCAGUGGUCUAGUGGUUAGGAAAUAGCACUUUCACAACUGUGGCUGGGGUUCAAGCCCUGGUCUGGGAACUGAGAUCCUUCAUUAAGCUGCUGCAAGAUGCAGAAAAAAGAAAAAAAAAAAACACAACACAGAUGGAAGUAGACAUGACCACCCAAGGAGAGCCCAAAGAGAGCCCAAGAAGAGAUGAAUCCUGGACUCAAGACACCAGACAACCGAGGGCGUGCAGGGCAGGCAGAGGAGGACCCUGGAAGGAAACCAAGGACAGACAAAACGGCAGAAGGCGAACCAGGAACUAAGAGUGCCUUUCAAAAAGGUGGUGAUCGAGUUUGAGUUCAAUGCCGAGAGGCACACUAUGUUGAAGACAAAGAAAAAUGACCACUUCAGGGAGCUUUCCCACCCUGUAAGCUCACAGCCAAGGAAAAUGGAAAUAAGAGGGACAGAGACCCUCUAACGGCUCCUCCCUCCUCUGACUCCACGCUGACCAAGAAGCUGCUCUGCUCCUGAACUUCAGCUCUGUGAGACAUCCAGAGUCCGGAAGGAACAUUUACCUUUUCUACCCAAGUUCUUUCUACUGGUUUCUCCAACAUGCGACUGGUUUUCUUUUUUGGCCACACCCACGCCAUAGCUGUCACCAAUCACAGCAGUGACAAUACCGGAUCCCCAACCCACUGAGCCACAGGAGAACUCCAACUGAGACUUCUUUUUACAAACCUGUCCAUGGCGGGAUGGUAAAGACAUGAGAUACGAAAUCAGGAACGCAAGGACUGGGCCAAGGAAGAAGCUCCAGGUAACUGCAGUGGGCUGAAAAGUGUCCCCCAAAUAUUCUUGUCCACCUGGAAAUCUAUCUGUAAAUGUGACUUUAUUUGGAAAAAAGAUCUUUCCAGGUAUAAUUAGUUCUAACUCACAAUGAGGUUACACUGGAUUAGGCCCCCAUCCAAUGACUGGCAUCCUUUUAAGAGCAGAGACAGACACAUAAAGAAGGCCACUUAAAGACAGACCCAGAAACUGGAUUGCCAGCAACCACCAGAAGCCAGAAAGAGGCAUCAGAGGGAGCUGCCCUGCCAACACCUUGCUUUCAGACUCAGCCUCCAAGAAGGGCGAGAGAAUAAACUUCUGCCAUUGGAAGCCACUCAGUUUGCGGUGGGAGUUAACGGCAGCCCCAGGAAACGGAGCGUCUCAUUUCAGAGCCAAAGAGAAGAACCCCUGAAAACCCUCAGUGAGAUAGGAAUAAAGAGCGGGGUUUGCACAGAGAAGCCGUGAGGCACAGAAGAAGGCAGGCGAGGAGGGCAGAGGCGACAGGCAGUGGCGGUGAUGGAAGUGGGCACGUCAGCGCCCGCACCUUGCUAAGCCCCGCAGUACGCAUUCUAUUUGUACCGUCUUGUUUCAUCCUGGGCACUACCCUAGGAGAUGGGAAAACUGGGAGGAGGUAAAUAACUUGUUCACAGCUCCUGAGCUCUGACUCUGCAGAGCCGGGAUGCCUGGCACGUGGGCACGGAAAAACCACAGGGAGAAGGAACCCAAUUAUUUCAAAGGUGACCCUCUGGGAAAUACACAUAGUGACAGUAACAAAGUAGAAAAAGUAGAAUUUAAGAAUCUACGCAAAGUUCUCUAGUGGCCUAGCGGUUAAGGCUCCAGCACUGUGGCCUGGGACCUUCCAAAUGUGGGGGCGUGGCCAAAAAACCUACAUACACGGUGUUCUCCAGUCCCUGCA